AUCGCUUCUCGGCCUUUUGGCUAAGAUCAAGUGUAGUUUCUGUUCUUAUCAGUUUAAUAUCUGAUAGUCCUUUAUACGGGGACCAUAUAUUAAAUUGAUUUUUUGAACAGGGAGAUGGAAUAAGGGCUUGCUCUGUCCACUCCACGCAUCAACCUGGUAUUGCAGUACCUCUGGGAAUGGUGCACCCACU
rnacentral:snRNA from 1 species